rnacentral:tRNA from 1 species
AUUUAAAUAGCUUAUAAUUAGAGCGUGACAUUGAAGAUGUUAAUGAGAUUAUAGAAUCUUUGAAUA